GAUGAACGCUGGCGGCGUGCCUAAUACAUGCAAGUCGAGCGAACAGAUUAGGAGCUUGCUCCUCUGACGUUAGCGGCGGACGGGUGAGUAACACGUGGAUAACCUACCUAUAAGACUGGGAUAACUUCGGGACACCGGCUCUAAUACCGGAUAAUAUAUUGAACUGCAUGGUUCAAUAGUGAAAGACGGUUUUGCUGUCACUUAUCGAUCGAUCCGCGCCGUAUUAGCUAGUUGGUAAGGUAACGGCUUACCAAGGCAAUGUUCCGUAUCCGACCACAGAGGGUGAUCGGCCACACUGGAACUGGAGCACGGUCCAGAAUCCUACGAGAGGCAGAAGUAGGAGAUCUUCCGCAAUGGGAGAAAGCGUGAAGGAGCAGCAACGCGUGAGUGAUGAAGGCAGUCAGAUCGUAAAACUCUGUUAUUAGGGAAGAACGAAAAUGUAAGAAAAUAAGCAAGUCUUAACGGUACCAAAUCAGAAAACCACGGCUAACUAAGUU
rnacentral:rRNA from 1 species